rnacentral:rRNA from 1 species
UACGGAGGGUGCAAGCGUUGUCCGGAAUCACUGGGCGUAAAGGGCGCGUAGGCGGCUUAUGAAGGCUGUGGUGAAAGUCCGGGGCUCAACCUCGGAUCGGCCGUGGCGACUCGUGGGCUGGAGCACUGUAGAGGCGGGUGGAAUUCCGGGGUGUAGCGGUGGAAUGCGUAGAGAUCCGGAAGAACACCAGUGGCGAAGGCGGCCCGCUGGGCAGUGGCUGACGCUGAAGCGCGACAGCGUGGGGAGCAAACGAGGAU